rnacentral:tRNA from 1 species
GCCCUAGUGGUGAAAUUGGUAGACGCAACGGACUCAAAAUCCGUCGGUAGCAAUACUGUGCCGGUUCGAGUCCGGCCUGGGGCACCA